AAGCCAUGGUGUGGGCAUUUGAGAAGCAAAUCGUGAAAGCGCUCCCAAGUUUGGUGAAACUGUUCAUCAUUUUUCCCUUUAAAAGUAUAGAAUCUCUCAUUGGCUU